GGGGAUGUAGCUCAGUUGGCUAGAGCGCUUGACUGGCAGUCAAGAGGUCGUCGGUUCGAAUCCGAUCUUCUCCACUA
rnacentral:tRNA from 3 species